rnacentral:rRNA from 1 species
UGAGGGAAUAUUUGGGGUCAAUGGACGAAAGUCUGAACCAGCCAUGCCGCGUGAGCGAAGAAGUAUUUCGGUAUGUAAAGCUCUAUCAGCAGGGAAGAAGAAUGACGGUACCUGACUAAGAAGCACCGGCUAAAUACGUGCCAGCAGCCGCGGUAAUACGUAUGGUGCAAGCGUUAUCCGGAUUUACUGGGUGUAAAGGGAGCGCAGGCGGUGCGGCAAGUCUGAUGUGAAAGCCCGGGGCUCAACCCCGGUACUGCAUUGGAAACUGUCGUACUAGAGUGUCGGAGGGGUAAGUGGAAUUCCUAGUGUAGCGGUGAAAUGCGUAGAUAUUAGGAGGAACACCAGUGGCGAAGGCGGCUUACUGGACGAUCACUGACGCUGAGGCUCGAAAGCGUGGGGAGCAAACAGGAUUAGAUACCCUGGUAGU